rnacentral:rRNA from 1 species
GAUGAACGCUGACAGAAUGCUUAACACAUGCAAGUCAACUUGAAUUUGGGUUUUUAACUUAGGUUUGGGUGGCGGACGGGUGAGUAACGCGUAAAGAACUUGCCUCACAGCUAGGGACAACAUUUGGAAACGAAUGCUAAUACCUAAUAUUAUGAUAAUAGGGCAUCCUAUAAUUAUGAAAGCUAUAAGCGCUGUGAGAGAGCUUUGCGUCCCAUUAGCUAGUUGGAGAGGUAACGGCUCACCAAGGCGAUGAUGGGUAGCCGGCCUGAGAGGGUGAUCGGCCACAAGGGGACUGAGACACGGCCCUUACUCCUACGGGAGGCAGCAGUGGGGAAUAUUGGACAAUGGACCGAGAGUCUGAUCCAGCAAUUCUGUGUGCACGAUGAAGUUUUUCGGAAUGUAAAGUGCUUUCAGUUGGGAAGAAACAAAUGACGGUACCGACAGAAGAAGUGACGGCUAAAUACGUG